rnacentral:rRNA from 1 species
CUACGGGGGGCAGCAGUGGGGAAUAUUGCACAAUGGGCGCAAGCCUGAUGCAGCCAUGCCGCGUGUAUGAAGAAGGACUUCGGGUUGUAAAGUACUUUCAGCGGGGAGGAAGGGAGUAAAGUUAAUACCUUUGCUCAUUGACGUUACCCGCAGAAGAAGCUCCGGCUAACUCCGUGCCAGCAGCCGCGGUAAUACGGAGGGUGCAAGCGUUAAUCGGAAUUACUGGGCGUAAAGCGCACGCAGGCGGUUUGUUAAGUCAGAUGUGAAAUCCCCGGGCUCAACCUGGGAACUGCAUCUGAUACUGGCAAGCUUGAGUCUCGUAGAGGGGGGUAGAAUUCCAGGUGUAGCGGUGAAAUGCGUAGAGAUCUGGAGGAAUACCGGUGGCGAAGGCGGCCCCCUGGACGAAGACUGACGCUCAGGUGCGAAAGCGUGGGGAGCAAACAGGAUUAGAUACCCGAGUAGUC